GUUGUAUAGUCAAGUAAUUAAGUGCAUGUGGUGGAUGCCUUGGCAGUCAGAGGCGAUGAAGGACGUGCUAACCUGCGAAAAGCUGUGAGAAGUCGGUAAGAGACGUUAGACUCACAGAUGUCCGAAUGGGGAAACCCACCAGAUUUAUCUGGUAUCGUAUGAUGAAUACAUAGUCAUACGAGGCGAACCGGGAGAACUGAAACAUCUAAGUACCCCGAGGAAAAGAAAUCAACCGAGAUUCCCUUAGUAGCGGCGAGCGAAAGGGGGCUAGCCCUUAAGUUGGUGAAGAAUUCGUGGAAGGCUCUGGAAAGUGCCGCGAUACAGGGUGAUAGCCC
rnacentral:rRNA from 1 species